UACGUAGGGGGCAAGCGUUGUCCGGAUUUAUUGGGCGUAAAGAGCUCGUAGGUGGUUCCGUAAGUCGGGUGUGAAAAAUCUGGGCUCAACCCAGUGGAGCACCCGAUACUGCGGUGACUGGAGUCCGGUAGGGGAGUGUGGAAUUCCUGGUGUAGCGGUGAAAUGCGCAGAUAUCAGGAGGAACACCGACGGCGAAGGCAGCACUCUGGGCCGGUACUGACGCUGAGGAGCGAAAGCGUGGGGAGCGAACAGG
rnacentral:rRNA from 1 species